rnacentral:rRNA from 1 species
UACGUAGGGUGCGAGCGUUGUCCGGAAUUAUUGGGCGUAAAGAGCUCGUAGGCGGUGUGUCGCGUCGGCCGUGAAAACCUGCAGCUUAACUGUGGGCUUGCGGUCGAUACGGGCAUCACUGGAGUUCGGCAGGGGAGACUGGAAUUCCUGGUGUAGCGGUGAAAUGCGCAGAUAUCAGGAGGAACACCGGUGGCGAAGGCGGAUCUCUGGGCCUUACCUGACGCUCAGGCGCGAAAGCUAGGGGAGCGAACUGG